GAAAUUCACUGGGGCAGAUUGCUCUGUCCUAGGAGUCGGCAGGGUGGAUUCGGCUGAUCUGGCUGGUUAGGCGGGUGUCCCCUUCCUCCCUCAGCACUCCAUGUACCUCCUUCCCGACCUUCCCUCAUAGAAAGAGGACCGUCCUUCGGUCAAGGGUACAUGAGUGGCUGUGCUUUCCUGCUAGAACCUCCAAACAGGUCUUGAGAUCCUGAUAAGGAAACACAGGCUUGGUUUAUACUCUCUACUAAGGUCAGGAAUUAGUCCCACCUUAAU
rnacentral:snRNA from 1 species